AGUGAACGCUGGCGGCAGGCCUAAUACAUGCAAGUCGAACGGCAGCACAGUGGAGCUUGCUCCAUGGGUGGCGAGUGGCGGACGGGUGAGGAAUACAUGGGAAUCUGCCCAGUCGUGGGGGAUAACGUAGGGAAACUUACGCUAAUACCGCAUGCGCCCUUCGGGGGAAAGCCGGGGACCGUAAGGCCUGGCGCGAUUGGAUGAGCCCAUGUCGGAUUAGCUAGUUGGCGGGGUAACGGCCCACCAAGGCGACGAUCCGUAGCUGGUCUGAGAGGAUGAUCAGCCACACUGGAACUGAGACACGGUCCAGACUCCUACGGGAGGCAGCAGUAGGGAAUAUUGGACAAUGGGCGCAAGCCUGAUCCAGCCAUGCCGCGUGAGUGAAGAAGGCCCUCGGGUGUAAAGCUCUUUUGUCCGGAAAGAAAAGCACUGGGUUAAUACCCCGGUGUCCUGAACGGUACCGGAAGAAUAAGCACCGG
rnacentral:rRNA from 1 species